rnacentral:rRNA from 1 species
CAGAGCGAACGUUUGCGGCGGGCUUAACACAUGCAAGUCGAACGAGAAUCCCUUCGGGGAGGAAAGUGGCGCACGGGUGCGUAACACGUGGAUAACCAACCCAUUGGUUUGGGACAACACCGGGAAACUGGUGCUAAUACCAGAUGUGUCGCAGCUGUCUUCAGGCGGUUGCGAGAAAGGCCCGCAAGGGUCGCCAACGGACGGGUCCGCGUCCCAUCAGCUAGUUGGUGAGGUAAUGGCUCACCAAGGCAAAGACGGGUAGCUGGUCUGAGAGGAUGAUCAGCCACACUGGAACUGAGACACGGUCCAGACUCCUACGGGGAGGCAGCAGGUGGGGAAUAUUGCGCAAUGGGCGAAAGCCUGACGCAGCCACGCCGCGUGAGCGAUGAAGGUCUUCGGAUCGUAAAGCUCUGUGGGGGGAGAAGAAGAAAGCCGGUGAAGAGCCGGCCCUGACGGUAUCCCCUUAGCAAGCACCGGCUAACUCCGUG